CUACAAUGGCGUAACAAAGGGAGGCGAACCCGUGAGGGGGAGGCAAAUCCCAAAAAUAAACGUCCCAGUUCGGACUGUAGUCUGCAACCCGACUACACGAAGCUGGAAUCGCUAGUAAUCGCGAAUCAGAAUGUCGCGGUGAAUACGUUCCCGGGUCUUGUACACACCGCCCGUCACACCAUGGGAGUCGGGAAUGCCCGAAGUCAGUGACCCAACCUAUUGGAGGGAGCUGCCGAAGGCAGGUCUGAUAACUGGGGUGAAGUCGUAACAAGGUAAC
rnacentral:rRNA from 1 species